rnacentral:lncRNA from 1 species
GCUUGUUGGCAGGCUAUUGGCUUGUUAACACUCAUCAGUUAGCUGGGACCCUGGGGAUAUGACUGAGUCCAGCCCUGUUCCUCCUUGACUCUGCCUGUUUAUUUCUUGGCUGGCGGGGAAGUGGGGGAUCCCCAGAUAUCAGUAGCGUGGGAAGGUAGAGAAGCCUUUGCCACAAGCCAGCCUCCUUCUGAGACCCUCAGCUACCAGUCUGGCUAGAGCCCUGGGAUUACUUCUGGUGACCCUCCUUCUCUGUGUCUCUUUGUCACCAGUGGAAGGACUCAAAGUGGUGGAGAUCGAAAAAUGCAAGAGUGAUAUUAAAAAGAUGCGGGAGGAGCUGGCAGCUAGAAACAACAGAUGCUGAGCUGUUUAGAGCAUAUGUACCAUGACCUUGGUCUGGUCAGGGACUUCAGCAUCAACCCAAUCACACUCCGCAGGUGGCUGCUCUGUGUGCAUGACAACUACAGGAGCAACCCCUUCCACAACUUCCGGCACUGCUUCUGUGUGACACAGAUGAUGUACAGCAUGGUCUGGCUCUGUGGCCUCCAGGAGAAGUUUUCCCAGAUGGACAUCUUGGUCCUGAUGACCGCAGCCAUCUGCCAUGACCUGGACCACCCAGGGUACAACAACACAUACCAGAUCAACGCCCGCACGGAACUAGCGGUGCGCUACAACGACAUCUCGCCGCUGGAGAACCACCAUUGCGCCAUCGCCUUCCAGAUCCUGGCGAGACCCGAGUGCAACAUCUUCGCCAGCGUGCCGCCUGAGGGCUUCAGGCAGAUCAGGCAG